rnacentral:rRNA from 1 species
AUUGAACGCUGGCGGCAUGCCUUACACGUGCAAGUCGAACGGUAACAGGUCUUCGGAUGCUGACGAGUGGCGAACGGGUGAGUAAUACAUCGGAACGUGCCUAGUAGUGGGGGAUAACUACUCGAACGAGUGGCUAAUACCGCAUGAGAUCUACGGACGAAAGCAGGGGAUCGCAAGACCUUGUGCUACUAGAGCGGCCGAUGGCAGAUUAGGUAGUUGGUGGGAUAAAAGCUUAUCAAGCCGACGAUCUGUAGCUGGUCUGAGAGGACGAUCAGCCACACUGGGACUGAGAAACGGCCCAGACUCCUACGGGAGGCAGCAGUGGGGAAUUUUGGACAAUGGGCGCAAGCCUGAUCCAGCAAUGCCGCGUGCAGGAUGGAGGCCUUCGGGUUGUAAACUGCUUUUGUACGGAACGAAAAGCCCCGGGUUAAUACCCUGGGGUCAUGACGGUACCGUAAGAAUAAGCACCGGCUAACUACGUGCCAGCCGCCGCAGUAA